GUGAAGAUACUGAAAUCGCCUUCUUCCAUCUCCCCAAACUUACCCACAGCUAUCUCCAGCCAAGAACAUGGAGAGGAAGAAGAGUUGCACGUUUCACCCCCAGGAACCACGAGGCCGGUCUGCACUCCUGCGAAUCCAGAAAAGACCCAGCAAGCAGUGUGCCUCUCUCUUUGUGAAGAGGGAGAGACACCAGGGAUGAAAAUACACAGAGGAAAGGCCAUGUGAAAAGUUAGCCAUCUGCCAGCCUAGCAGAGAUGCCUCAGAAGAAACCAAACCUACUGACACCUGGAUCUUGGACAUCUAGCCUCCAGAAAUGUGAGAAAAUAAAUUUCUGUUGCUUGAGCCAUGAGGUCUGUGGUAAAAAGACAUACUUCAUUGUAUUGCACUUUGCAGACAUGUUUUUUACAGAUGGAAAGUUUGUGGCAACCCAUUUGUCAACACCAUUUUCCCAGUAGCAUUUGCUCACUUCGUGUCUCUGUAUAACAUUUUGAUAAUUCUCACAAUAGUUCAAAUUUUUCACUAUUAGUAUAUUUGUUAUGGUGAUCUGUGAUUGAUCAGUGAUCUUUGAUGUUACUGUUAUAAUUGCUUUAGCAUUUUUUACCAAUCAAGUGAAAGUCUCUCAGUCAUAUCUGACUCUUUGCAACCCCAUGGAAUAGUCUAUGGGAUU